GGAAAAACUAAUUAUUUGAGUGAAUUUUCUAAGUCAAAUCAUCAUAACUCUGCAGAAAAUCAUCAGAACGGAACAAAAUUCGAACUUGAUUUGUAACUUGUCAUGAUAAAACUAUAUACCAAUUAUUAAAUCAAUAUCUUCAAGCAUGACUAAAAAAAAGUGCAGAAAACUAAUUAUUUGAGUGAAUUUUCUAAGUCCAAGGACCAUAGCUCUGCACAAAAUCAUCAGAAUGGAAAUUCAAACUUGAUCUGUAACGUGUCAUGAUAUAACUAUAUACCAAUUAUCAAAUCAAUACCUUCAAGUGAGGAAAAACUGAUUAUUUGAGUGAAUUUUCUAAGUCAAAACACCAUAACUCUGCAGAAAAUCAUCAGACCGGAACAAAAUUCGAUAACUUGGUCUGUAACUUGUCAUGAUUAAGCUAUAUGCCAAUUAUUAAAUCAAUAUCUUGAAGCAUGACAAAAUAAAUUGCGGAAAACUGAUUUGCCGGACUGACAGAUGGACAGACAAAUGGACAGACA